rnacentral:rRNA from 1 species
AUGGCUCGGCCAAGAUGGAGUCUUGCAAGCAGCGAGCGGUCGGUCAUCCCUGUGCGGCGUGGCGAGCGGCGGUGCUUUCCUGGUGGUGCUGGCCUGGGAUUUUACCGUGGAGAGGCGGGUCUGAUUGUCGCAAGGCAAUCCCUUGGAGUGGGCGACGCCGUCGCGGGCAGUCCUGGACCUGGCUGGAGGUGGUGGUUGGCUGCAGACCCUCGUGCAGGCUGGGAGUGGAUGGUGUGGCCGCGGUUUCCCUGCCGUGUGGUCGGCCGUUGGUCCUCGUCUAUGCAGCUACAUCGGCAAGUGUUGCGGUGGCGGCGGUGUGAAGCUUCUUGGCAGUGCUGCCAAUCCCAUGGAGGUGUGGAGAUGGGCGAAGCACAGAUGAAAAUAUUGCACGGCUUCUGCUAG